rnacentral:lncRNA from 1 species
AGAAGUGGGUCCUUAAAACGGGAAAGUCUGUCUUGGAUACUCAUGUGGGUUAGUAGCUGUGUGAAUCAAUAAAAGAGUGGGAUGAGUCAGCUGUAAACGUGUGGGCGAACUCGAGGGCUGCAAGUGUCAACAGCCACAGGGGGGUGAAACCCACUUGUGUGUUUGUCCCCACCACGCAGGGGGCUCGGAGACAGGGACUGAGAAGCUACCCCUCCCACCCCCAGCUUAGAACAUACUGUCCAGAUCAGUCAAUUGCUACCUGUCUGUUCUCAUCUGAUUAUUUCUCCCGGUCUCUUCGUUAGAAGGCACACCUUUAAAAUCUGGGGAGGGGAUUGGUUUUAUUCUUACAAGACAGAAUCUCCCAUUGAAGUGACCCAGCUGAGGACUGGGGACUGAAAUGCUUCUAAGCUGCUA